AGAAAAUUCACAAAAACAAGUUAUAUAAUAAGAGUUUCUUCCUGUUUUACAAUUAAAUUCCUUUUCAUCAUAUCUUCCAGGAAUGAUAAAAAUACUGUUAAGUCACUGAUUUUCCACGUUACAUCAAUUCAUCAUCACAUGUAUUUCCAUACAUACUGCAGAUUUUGUGGUAACUGUAGAUGAAAAUAAUUUUGAAUAAAAACAAAUUUUUAGUCAUUCAAAUAAUAUUUGUUAUUGCUGAGGACUACUUACAACUAAUCCGGGAUAACCAAUAGUCUAGAGACUAAGUUGAAAUAUGCUAACUUUAGAAAAAAAUUGUGAAUUUUAUCAUAAACUAAAUAUGGCAUUUUUAAAUUUAAAUACAAAAUAAUAUAUUUAAUCACAAUGUUUCAUUUUGUUUAAGUGUUGUCUUUUUAUAAUAUAAAUUAUAUAUAAUUUAUAUUGGCCAUUAAUGAGUAAUGAGCUGAAAAUCCCAUUCUGUUGCAAUUAUAUAAUAAGUCAUGUCUCCAGCAAAACAUUUUUUAGAAGUUCAUUUAGGACAUUGGUGAGGAAAUCAGAGUACUUCACUCCAUUUAAAAGCUUGUCAAAGAAGUAAGAUCUGAAUACUUGAUGUUCAAUGAGACCAUAUUAGGUAUUGAGGGGCCAUCUGUUUGUUGUCAACCUCUCUCAGCUAAUGUGGAUUUUUAGAUGACCAAAAUGCGCAUUAGAGAUCUCUUCAUUGCUUUUGAAUGUAGCUGCAUCUAUCAGUCCAGAGAAUUCAAUGAUGGAAACUAUGUAUUUUAUUCAGCAACCAAUUGCAGAAAAUCAUACAGUUCUAAAGGUCAUUAUCACCAAGGUAUUGUUGCAGAUGGAUGGUAUGGAUGCAAACCAUACCCUUCAGAAUUCUUUAUAUUGUCAUGUGAUCUAAACCAAAAUCUGUUAAGUCUCCUAGUGGAAAAGGAUUUGUAAUUACAGCAAUAAAGACAUCAGCUUUUCUGUUGUCUUUUACAGGCUGUCUGAUCUGUUUAUUUCAAUUAUGAAUUGACUGAACUUGGGAGUUCUACUUAUGUAAGUUGACAGAUGCUUUGUGAAUGAUGGAUGCAUUGCAGAUAUUUCUCAGCAUAAAGAUGUUCAGCAAAUUCUAUAAUUCUGAUGACAUUUACUCAACAUCAUCAGCAUAUCAAAAACUUCUUUGUGAAUUGACAUGAUUAUAACAAAAAAAAAAAUUAAGAAAAAGUUGAAUUAAACAGCAAAAGUCAAUGAUUACCAAAUAAAGAUAGACAAAAACUAAUAUUUAGAAAGUAGGAACAGAUUAUACUUAAUGAUUUGUUCUAGAACACUAUAAUGACAUCUAAGGACUUUCAAAGAAAAUGCAAGGCCUGGGACAACUAAUAUUUUUGAUGCACUUCAAAAAAAAUAAAGACAAAAUUGACAAAUAUACAGUGGUAAACGUACAAGUAAGAGGAAAACAUUGAUAAAG
rnacentral:lncRNA from 1 species